rnacentral:tRNA from 1 species
GAGCCCGUAGCUUAGUCUGGCUAGAGCACCGGUCUUAUAAGCCGGGGGUCGUGCGUUCAAAUCGCGCCGGGCUCA